rnacentral:rRNA from 1 species
GACGAACGCUGGCGGCGUGCUUAACACAUGCAAGUCGAGCGGUAAGGCCCUUUCGGGGGUACACGAGCGGCGAACGGGUGAGUAACACGUGGGUGACCUGCCCUCAGCUCUGGGAGUAAGCCUGGGAAACCGGGUCUAAUACUGGAUAUGACUCCAUGACGCAUGUUGUGGGGUGGAAAGCCUUGUGCGGCUGAGGAUGGGCCCGCGGCCUAUCAGCUUGUUGGUGGGGUGAGGCCUACCAAGGCGACGACGGGUAGCCGGCCUGAGAGGGCGACCGGCCACACUGGGACUGAGACACGGCCCAGACUCCUACGGGAGGCAGCAGUGGGGAAUCUUGCGCAAUGGGCGAAAGCCUGACGCAGCGACGCCGCGUGAGGGAUGACGGCCUGG